AGUACUUCCGCCAAGAAGCCUCAGCAAGAGCCAGGUGGAAUUCUAGAAGAGGCUGAGGAGGAGGGCAGCCUGCCAGCUAUGGGAAGUUAUGCCCUGCCCACACAGGAGAUAAAAGGCCGAGACGCCACAUGACACUCCCAGCUGACCACGGACACAGAAGUGACACAUCACACCGAGACACAUCCUUCCACGGUUCUACAAACCCACUGCCUUUUCUUCCUGAGUCCACAGUUGAACUACAUUUCCCAGAGUUCUUUGGAAUCUGCAGGUCCAAGCCCCUGAGUCCUGGCUAGUAGAGGGAGGGUUCAGGCCUGGCCUUGAAUUCCCAUGGAAUACUGCAUGCUUACUCUCCUUCCCUGUCUCUGGCUGAAUGGAGAGAGUGUGGAGGACCCACAUGAUGUAAAGCCACACACGAUGGCAGUAGCGUAGGUCCCCAUGUCACUACCUAUAUGAACAGCUAAAGAAAUCCACACUGUAUCAAGACCUUGAGAUCAUAGCAGUGUUUCAAUGGUUCAUCUCCUCUGACUAAGCCAAGACUCUCGUGGGACUAUGUGUUCAUCUUCCCCCAGACUGUAAGAUGUAUGAGACUAGAAACUUCUCUCUGUCACACAGCACUGCGUCACCCGAACUUAGCAUUAUGUCCUGAAUGCACUAGGACCUGAGUAAAUGCUCCUUGGUUGGAUGAAUAAAUGAAUGAGUACAACCUUAA